GACAGAGGUGCCAAGCGUUAGGCGGAAUCACUGGGCUUAAAGCGUGUGUAGGCGGAUUUGUAAGUACCUUGUGAAAUCCCACGGCUCAACCGUGGAACUGCUUGGUAUACUGCUUAUCUUGGGCCACUUAGGGGUUACCGGAACAAACGGUGGAGCGGUGAAAUGCGUAGAUAUCGUUUGGAACGCCAAUGGUGAAAACAGGUAACUGGGAGUGUGCCGACGCUGAGACACGAAAGCUAGGGGAGCGAACGGG
rnacentral:rRNA from 1 species